rnacentral:rRNA from 2 species
GAUGAACGCUAGCGGCAGGCUUAAUACAUGCAAGUCGAGGGGCAGCAGCUUUGUAGCAAUACAGGGGCUGGCGACCGGCAAACGGGUGCGGAACACGUACGCAACCUUCCUUUAACUGGGAGAUAGCCCACCGAAAGGUGGAUUAAUAUCCCAUAGUAUAUUUGAGUGGCAUCACUUAGAUAUUAAAGCUCCGGCGGUUAAAGAUGGGCGUGCGUCUGAUUAGGUAGUUGGCGGGGUAACGGCCCACCAAGCCCACGAUCAGUAGCUGAUGUGAGAGCAUGAUCAGCCACACGGGCACUGAGACACGGGCCCGACUCCUACGGGAGGCAGCAGUAAGGAAUAUUGGUCAAUGGACGCAAGUCUGAACCAGCCAUGCCGCGUGGAGGAUGAAGGCCCUCUGGGUUGUAAACUUCUUUUCUUUGGGACGAAACCCCUGUUUCUACGGGGACUGACGGUACCAGAGGAAUAAGCACCGGCUAACUCCGUGCCAGCAGCCGCGGUAAUACGGAGGGUGCAAGCGUUAUCCGGAUUCACUGGGUUUAAAGGGAGCGUAGGUGGGCUUUUAAGUCAGUGGUGAAAUCUUUGGGCUUAACCCGAAAACUGCCAUUGAUACUAUUAGUCUUGAAUUCUCUGGAGGUAAGCGGAAUAUGUCAUGUAGCGGUGAAAUGCUUAGAUAUGACAUAGAACACCCAUUGCGAAGGCAGCUUACUACGGAGACAUUGACACUGAGGCUCGAAAGCGUGGGGAUCAAACAGGAUUAGAUACCCUGGUAGUCCACGCCCUAAACGAUGAUUACUCGACAUUAGCGAUAUUACAGUUAGUGUCUAAGCGAAAGCAUUAAGUAAUCCACCUGGGAAGUACGACCGCAAGGUUGAAACUCAAAGGAAUUGGCGGGGGUCCGCACAAGUGGUGGAGCAUGUGGUUUAAUUCGAUGAUACGCGAGGAACCUUACCUGGGCUAGAAUGCUGGGAGACCGCAGGUGAAAGCCUGUUUUGUAGCAAUACACUGCCAGUAAGGUGCUGCAUGGCUGUCGUCAGCUCGUGCCGUGAGGUGUUGGGUUAAGUCCCGCAACGAGCGCAACCCCUAUCUUUAGUUGCCAUCAGGUAAUGCUGGGAACUCUAAAGAAACUGCCGUCGUAAGACGUGAGGAAGGAGGGGAUGAUGUCAAGUCAUCAUGGCCUUUAUGCCCAGGGCUACACACGUGCUACAAUGGGGGGGACAAAGGGCUGCCACUUAGCGAUAAGGAGCUAAUCCCAAAAACCCUCUCUCAGUUCAGAUUGGAGUCUGCAACUCGACUCCAUGAAGCUGGAAUCACUAGUAAUCGUAUAUCAGCAAUGAUACGGUGAAUACGUUCCCGGACCUUGCACACACCGCCCGUCAAGCCAUGGAAGCUGGGUGUACCUAAAGUCGGUAACCGCAAGGAGCCGCCUAGGGUAAAACUAGUGACUGGGGCUAAG